rnacentral:rRNA from 1 species
GAUGAACGCUGGCGGCGUGCCUAAUACAUGCAAGUCGAGCGAACGGACGAGAAGCUUGCUUCUCUGAUGUUAGCGGCGGACGGGUGAGUAACACGUGGAUAACCUACCUAUAAGACUGGGAUAACUUCGGGAAACCGUAGCUAAUACCGGAUAAUAUUUUGAACCGCAUGGUUCAAAAGUGAAAGACGGUCUUGCUGUCACUUAUAGAUGGAUCCGCGCUGCAUUAGCUAGUUGGUAAGGUAACGGCUUACCAAGGCAACGAUGCAUAGCCGACCUGAGAGGGUGAUCGGCCACACUGGAACUGAGACACGGUCCAGACUCCUACGAGAGGCAGCAGUAGGGAAUCUUCCGCAAUGGGCGAAAGCAUGACGGAGCAACUCCGCGUGAGUGAUGAAGGUCUUCGGAUCGUAAAACUCUGUUAUUAGGGAAGAACAUAUGUGUAAGUAACUGUGCACAUCUUGACGGUACCUAAUCAGAAAGCCACGGCUAACUACGUG